GAGACAUCAGAGCCAGUGGCAAAUGUCAGAAGAACUAGCCGAGGUGAGACUGCUGUCAUCGGUAAACAUGAGCACCAUGAACCUCUGGACAGCACCGACCACAAGAGAAGUGCUCAGCAGCUCAGCAUCGCCAUGGGCCACCUUACCUUGGUUUUGAAGGGGGAGGAGGACAUUAUUACUGACGGAAAGAACAUGCUGACCUGUAGUCAAGAGGGCAGUGGGCGGCGCUGUGGGGGCAGGGAGAUCUGCUCUCCGGUUCCUUAGGAGUCUUCGCCCACUGGGCGUUCAGCUCACCUCCAGAUGCAACCAAAGGCAUGAAUCCCUCGCUGGUGGCUGCCUUCCGGUGCUACGUCUCUGACAAGGCAGUGUAAUCGCCAGGCCUUCCACAAGCACAGCAGAUCUACCACCACCUCUGACAUGAUCCAGGAGAUAAGCAGCGCUUUCAAGAAGUUGUUUGAAAGCUAAACCCGCG